rnacentral:rRNA from 1 species
GACGAACGCUGGCGGCGUGCUUAACACAUGCAAGUCGAACGAAGUGGAUAACGGGUGAGUAAUACGUCGGUAACCUGGCCUCCUUUGUUGGAUAAGCCUUGGAAACGGGGUCUAAUACCGAAUUAAGGGGGAUGGGCUCGCGGCGUAUCAGCUUGUUGGUGGGGUGAUGGCCUGCCAAGGCGGUGACGGGUAGCCGGCCUGAGAGGGUGACUGGGCACAUGGGCACUGAGAUAGGGCCCAGAGUCCUACGGGAGGCAGCAGUGGGGGCUAUUGUGCAAUGGGCGACAGACUGAUGCAGCGCCGGCGCGUGGGGGAUGAAGGCUGUCAUGUUGUAAACCUCUUUCGCAAUCGAAUGGGUAGGGGGAGAAGAAGCGCCGGCUAACUACGUGCCAGCAGCCGCGGUAAUAC